GGGCGGGUUGUGUUGUUCUCUAACUACUCCUUUGCAGUAUGUAGCCCAAGUAACUCCUGACGCCCUUACUGCGCAGCUAAGCUGCUUUUUAGUUAAAACCCAGAACCCCAGCAACAAACUGGAAAGAAAAAUGGAGGGCUUAGAAAAGGACCAUCCUUACUCGGAAUCUUCCCAGCAGCAUCCACCAGCCAGAGAGGAACACACUGUGCCAGGGGCCAUCACGCACCGCCUGAGAGACCGAGAGCUGCUGCGGAAAAGGAAAGCGGAGGCACAGGAGAAAGAUACUGUCCAGUGGGUUCUGGGGUGGUGGUACCUCUCCGGAGGCAUGACUUUGCCCACUCACCUGCUGGCAAGACACUUGACUUUAGAGAGCAAGGUACAAGCAAAGGGCCAAAGAGGGGCCGAGGAGCUGGGAGAAGAAGAGGCCGACAGUGGGGUACAGAGCCAGAGCCUCAGCCUGAAGUGCAAGAGGAGGUGGAGACGGAGCCCCCAGAGAAAGCACAGGCAUCUCCAGGGCACCACGAGGAGGAGCCCGCCCUGUCUGUGACUCAAGAGCUGUCUGGUGGGACUCAGCAGGAGGUGGUGGAGGGCCCACGAGCUGAGGAUACUCUGCAUCCAGCAGAGCAUGGGGAAGAACCAAAGUCAGAAGAAGCAGGAACAUCAGAGGCUUUGAAUAGCCCUCUGGAAAAUGACCAUACAGAUAAUGGAUACUACUCCUCUGUUUUAUUUUGAUCUUUUUUUCCUUCCCAUUGCUUUGGUCAAAGUCCAGCCACUGUAGAAUGAUUUAGAUCUGCUAUUCCUGUGUGAGCAAUAAAAACUAAACACUUGCA